ACCUACGGGACGCAGCAGUGAGGAAUAUUGGUCAAUGGGCGAGAGCCUGAACCAGCCAAGUCGCGGGAGGGAAGACGGUCCUAUGGAUUGUAAACCUCUUUGGCCGGGGAGCAGAAAGCGGUACGGGUACCGCAUCGAGAGUACCCGGAGAAAAAGCAUCGGCGAACUCCGUGCCAGCAGCCGCGGUAAUACGGAGGAUGCGAGCGUUAUCCGGAUAUAUGGGGUUUAAAGGGUG
rnacentral:rRNA from 1 species